rnacentral:rRNA from 2 species
ACCCGCUGAACUUAAGCAUAUCAAUAAGCGGAGGAAAAGAAACCAACAGGGAUUGCCCCAGUAACGGCGAGUGAAGCGGCAACAGCUCAAAUUUGAAAGCUGGCUUCGGCCCGCGUUGUAAUUUGGAGAGGAUGCUUUGGGCGAGGCUCCUUCUGAGUUCCCUGGAACGGGACGCCACAGAGGGUGAGAGCCCCGUAUAGUUGGAAGCCAAGCCUGUGUAAAGCUCCUUCGACGAGUCGAGUAGUUUGGGAAUGCUGCUCAAAAUGGGAGGUAAAUUUCUUCUAAAGCUAAAUACCGGCCAGAGACCGAUAGCGCACAAGUAGAGUGAUCGAAAGAUGAAAAGCACUUUGAAAAGAGGGUUAAAUAGCACGUGAAAUUGUUGAAAGGGAAGCGCUUGUGACCAGACUUGCGCCCGGCGGAUCAUCCGGUGUUCUCACCGGUGCACUCCGCCGGGCUCAGGCCAGCAUCGGUUCUGGCGGGGGGAUAAAGGCCCGGGGAAUGUGGCUCCUCCGGGAGUGUUAUAGCCCCGGGUGCAAUACCCUCGCCGGGACCGAGGACCGCGCUCUGCAAGGAUGCUGGCGUAAUGGUCACCAGCGACCCGUCUUGAAACACGGACCAAGGAGUCAAGGUUUUGCGCGAGUGUUUGGGUGUAAAACCCGCACGCGUAAUGAAAGUGAACGUAGGUGAGAGCUUCGGCGCAUCAUCGACCGAUCCUGAUGUAUUCGGAUGGAUUUGAGUAGGAGCGUUAAGCCUUGGACCCGAAAGAUGGUGAACUAUGCUUGGAUAGGGUGAAGCCAGAGGAAACUCUGGUGGAGGCUCGCAGCGGUUCUGACGUGCAAAUCGAUCGUCAAAUCUGAGCAUGGGGGCGAAAGACUAAUCGAACCAUCUAGUAGCUGGUUACCGCCGAAGUUUCCCUCAGGAU